CAAAUUCCAAUCACCAAAUUUCGUCUCUAUUUUUUGUUUGUUUCAUUUUUACAGUCUGAAAAAUACAUUCCUUCCACAUGCAAAACUGCUCUUGGUGACAUUUGGGCAUAUUAAAGUAUCCUACGAGCAAUAACUGCCGUUUGCUUUAUGAAAACUUGAAAAGCAAUGUCCAUCACUCGAAGAAUAAUGAAACAACCCAGCUUUCCUGAGCCAGCCUUUGAAGUUUUCCAUUUUCCUUGCUGUUUUUGAAUGUUUUCACAUCUGUCAACACUUAUUUUUUGUCUGUUACAAUCCUCAAAUAAGUUUUCUUUCUUUUAAAAAGGUGUAUGACUAACUAAUCCAAAUGAUAUCCCUCUGAAUCAAACACAAUUAUUUUCCUCCCGUGAAAUACACAACUUUAAAAAAUGGCUGCCGCUUACAUUUAACAAAGCCAGGUCUAAUAUAAAUUCGCAGUAAGUAACAGAAUUAUGGAUGGAUGGUUGGACUUUUUCUCAUACAAGAAUUGUUUGUUUUUAUUAUUAAAACAAGCGAUCAUUCAUAUUUUUUUAAUAAAAUGAAUAACAUCACCGUCAUUUAACGUUGAUAGUCGAACUUUUUUUUUCAGCUCAAGACUUCUUGUAUUUAAUAAGAAAUUCCGAAUAAAUGGGGCUCUCAAUGGGGAUAACAGAUUUUAAUAUUGACGGAAAUUUCGUUUUUUCUUGUUUUUAAGCAUAAAAUAAAAUGAAAAUUUGUUUGUUUGUUGUGUAAGAUGUAAUUUUAUUUCAUCUCGUGAACUUUAAAAACAGUAUUCUCACUCGUGGCUACGCCACUCGUGAGAAUACUGUUUUUAAAGCCCACUCGAUGAAAUAAAAUUUCAUCUUACACACAAACAAACAAAUAUCCUCUAUAUGUUCAAAAUUUUCAAACAAUUAUUUAAAAAAAAGAUUAACUUGAAUGCAACUUAGUUCAGAUCAUUUCAAAGAUUACUAGCUCCCCUUUUUACGAUGAAAUACCAUUCAGUCUAGAAAAGUAGUUCUUCCAUAAUUUACUUGUCAGCUAUCUAAAAAAUCAAAUUAUGUAAGCACUCGAUUGCAUAAAUAUGUCAAUAUGUUUGAUACUCACGAGUACUUAUAGUUGGUUGUAUUACCAUUCGGUUUGCUGUCCGCAUGUCCGUCCUUUUCAUACAUACACCCAGUUUGUCAAUAUAUAAAGUCAACUGGUUAUGAUUGAAAUCCAGUGAAUUAGUUCAUUAAGUGAUCUUCACAAUUAUGGUCCUUACAGCGUUAUUUUGUGAAUCAUUGAAGGUUUUUCUUAGGUAUAUGGUUAUAUAGUUAUUUACUGGAUGAUUUCUACAUUGUGUUUACAUGCAGAGGUCAAAGUAAAACGUGUUCUAAAUGUUAUCAUAUAACAUAUCAUUAGAAAUUGAUGUAAUUGAUAUGAAGUGAUGUAAUUGUCCAUAGUUAAAAGUUACAAGGGAUAAUGAUGGACAUUUUAGGUAUUACUUAGUUCAUUUCUUACUUAUCCAAAUUGUUAAAGAUAAAUCACUGAAAAGGCGGUGAUAUAAUUGAUGUUCAGAUAGAUAAAUAAUAACAUUGCCGAGGCUUAAACGGUUUUGAGGAUCCAAUAAUAUACAAUACGGAUGGGUUCACCUGUUUAACCUCGCCUUUGUUUCUUAAAACACAAACAAUGGUAUUAUACAAAAGGUAUAAAGCGAAUAUGAAAGUUCCUUUUUACUCAGGAACAUUACAAAGUUUAAGAUCUCAAGAGACCAUUUUAAAGGUUUAGGUCCCUCAAAAACAGAACAAUGUGUGAGUCCCUCAAGAAAAUUACUAAAUUUUAGAUCCCUCAAGUACAUUACAAAGUUUUAGAUUCCUCAAGUGCAUUGCAAAGUUUUAGAUCCCUCAAGUACAUUGCAAAGUUUUUAAUCCCUCAAAUACAUUACAAAGUUUUAUUACAAAGUUUUAGAUCCCUCAAGUACAUUACAAAGUUUUAGAUCCCUAAAGUACAUUGCAAAGUUUUAGGUCCCUCAAGUAUAUUACAAAGUUUUAGAUCCCUUAAGUACAUUACAAAGUUUUAGAUCCCUCAAGUACAUUGCAAAGUUUUAGAUCCCUAAAGUACAUUACAAAGUUAAAGAUCCCUCAAGUACAUUGCAAAGUUUAGAUCCCUCAAUGACAUUACAAAGUUUUAGAUCCCUCAAUGACAUUACAAAGUUUUAGAUCCCUCAAGUACAUUACAAAGAUUUAGAUCCCUCAAGAAUAUUUCAAAGUUUUAGGUCCCUCAAGAACAUAACAAAAUUUAAGAUCCCUCGAAAAUGUUCUUGGAGGAUCUAGAAAUAUGUUCUUGAUGGAUCUAGAACUUUUAGAACCCAUUGAAUAUCAUGAAUUCUGUUAUUAGUUCUUGGAUGCGGAUAAGUGGGGACGUUUUGAGCUUUUCAUCGUAAUCGAGCUUUAUAAAUAUGUUUCAUGAAAGUUUAAAACAUAUCUAUUUUGUGAUUAAACCUUUAAAGGCACAUUUAGCCUCAUAAAAAAGUAAAAACGUUUCCCUCUUUUGAAAGAACGGCAUUUGUUUUAUUGUGUUGAAAAAAAACGGAUUUAGAACAUGUGAGAUGCAUAUCACCGGAAAAUAGCGAUAGAGAUAUCAAAAUGUAAACAAAAUGGUAUUUUGAAAUCCAUACAAAAUACUAGAUCAUAAAUAGUGUACUAAUUACCAAAACGCGAAAGAAACAAAUAUAUAUUAGCUCGGGUAUAUUAAGUAACUUUUGGAAACUGUGACGCCAAAAUAAAAAGAGAGCAUUUAUGAGGCUUAAAAAGAGUUUAAAAAAUUAUUUUACAUCUAAAUAUAUAAAGACAUAAAUACUUUGUAUGUUUUUGUAGAAUGUAGAGGAUAUCCUAUCAAGAAGUGAAAUCUUUCACACGGUGGUGUUACGAGCAUCUUGCGCUUGUGAAAUAUAAGAAAGUAUCGCACUUAAAAAUUAAAUGUAGAUCUUGUGUAUUUUAUUCUAGAUUUUUCAACUGAAAAGAAAGCUUUGUUUCUUGCCACUGAAUAUAAGUCAAUAAACUAUGUAUGAUAUAUAUAUUGUAUCUUUCUGGUGAAAAUCUGUAUUUUCCUAGGUAGUAAACAGUGUAUAGUUAUUUAACCUUAGCUGUUAUUUAGUAGUGACAUUUAUUUGAGAUAUAGCGGUACCUCUUUUAUUAUUACAGAUAUUCCAGUGAUAGUUUUUUUCAUUUUUAAUGAUAUUUUUUACUUUUUGUUUUUUCUAAGUAUGAUAUUUAUUUGUAUCUCUUCCAUUUGUAUUGUAAUAACUGUUAAACUGUUAUUUAGCUUUGCAACUAUUGUUUUAAAAAAUAUGAAAUAAAUAUAUAUUAAAAUGUGUUCAUUUA